GACCCCGUAGCUCAGGUGGUAGAGCAUCUGACUUUUAAUCAGAGGGUCGCAGGUUCGAGUCCUGCCGGGGUCA
rnacentral:tRNA from 1 species